rnacentral:rRNA from 1 species
AUUGAACGCUGGCGGAAUGCUUUACACAUGCAAGUCGAACGGCAGCACGGACUUCGGUCUGGUGGCGAGUGGCGAACGGGUGAGUAAUACAUCGGAACGUGCCCAGUCGUGGGGGAUAACGUAGCGAAAGCUACGCUAAUACCGCAUACGAUCUAAGGAUGAAAGCGGGGGAUCGCAAGACCUCGCGCGAUUGGAGCGGCCGAUGGCAGAUUAGGUAGUUGGUGGGGUAAAGGCCUACCAAGCCGACGAUCUGGAGCUGGUCUGAGAGGACGACCAGCCACGCUGGGACUGAGACACGGCCCAGACUCCUACGGGAGGCAGCAGUGGGGAAUUUUGGACAAGGGGCGCAAGCCUGAUCCAGCCAUUCCGCGUGCAGGAUGAAGGCCCUCGGGUUGUAAACUGCUUUUGUACGGAACGAAAAGGCUCUGGUUAAUACCCGGGGCUCAUGACGGUACCGUAAGAAUAAGCACCGGCUAACUACGUGCCAGCAGCCGCGGUAACAC